UGAUUUUGUGUUUAGCCUCUUGAGUUGGUC
rnacentral:piRNA from 1 species